rnacentral:sRNA from 1 species
AGUGCAAGGCUAGCAUUCUCAGGGACAAC